rnacentral:rRNA from 1 species
GGGGUGUGGGGGGGUGGGGGACGGGGACUGGGCGGUUCG